GAUGAACGCUGGCGGCGUGCCUAAUACAUGCAAGUCGAGCGAACAGACGAGGAGCUUGCUCCUCUGACGUUAGCGGCGGACGGGUGAGUAACACGUGGAUAACCUACCUAUAAGACUGGGAUAACUUCGGGAAACCGGAGCUAAUACCGGAUAAUAUAUUGAACCGCAUGGUUCAAUAGUGAAAGACGGUUUUGCUGUCACUUAUAGAUGGAUCCGCGCCGCAUUAGCUAGUUGGUAAGGUAACAGCCUACCAAGGCAACGAUGCGUAGCCGACCUGAGAGGGUGAUCGGCCACACUGGAACUGAGACACGGUCCAGACUCCUACGGGAGGCAGCAGUAGGGAAUCUUCCGCAAUGGGCGAAAGCCUGACGGAGCAACGCCGCGUGAGUGAUGAAGGUCUUCGGAUCGUAAAACUCUGUUAUUAGGGAAGAACAAAUGUGUAAGUAACUAUGCACGUCUUGACGGUACCUAAUCAGAAAGCCACGGCUAACUACGUG
rnacentral:rRNA from 1 species